rnacentral:rRNA from 1 species
AUACGUAGGUGACAAGCGUUAUCCGGAUUUACUGGGCGUAAAGGGCGUGUAGGCGGUCUUGCAAGUCAGAAGUGAAAUUCCUGAGCUCAACUCGGGCGCUGCUUCUGAAACUGCAGGACUUGAGUGCUGGAGGGGAUAGCGGAAUUCCUAGUGGAGCGGUAAAAUGCGCAGAUAUUAGGAAGAACACCGGUGGCGAAGGCGGCUAUCUGGACAGUAACUGACGCUGAGGCGCGAAAGCGUGGGGAGAAAACAGGAUUAGAUCCCCUGGUAGUCCACGCCGUAAACGAUGAAUACUAGGUGUAGGGGGUAUCGACUCCCUCUGUGCCGCAGUUAACACAAUAAGUAUUCCGCCUGGGGAGUACGGCCGCAAGGCUGAAACUCAAAUGAAUUGACGGGG